rnacentral:rRNA from 1 species
UACGUAGGGAGCAAGCGUUGUCCGGAUUUACUGGGUGUAAAGGGUGCGUAGGCGGCUUUGCAAGUCAGAUGUGAAAUCUAUGGGCUCAACCCAUAGCCUGCAUUUGAAACUGCAGAGCUUGAGUGAAGUAGAGGCAGGCGGAAUUCCCCGUGUAGCGGUGAAAUGCGUAGAGAUGGGGAGGAACACCAGUGGCGAAGGCGGCUUACUGGACUGACAAUGACGCUGAAGCUCGAAAGUGCGGGUAUCGAACAGG